GAUGAACGCUGGCGGCGUGCCUAAUACAUGCAAGUCGAGCGAACUGAUUAGAAGCUUGCUUCUAUGACGUUAGCGGCGGACGGGUGAGUAACACGUGGGCAACCUGCCUGUAAGACUGGGAUAACUUCGGGAAACCGAAGCUAAUACCGGAUAGGAUCUUCUCCCUCAUGGGAGAUGAUUGAAAGAUGGUUUCGGCUAUCACUUACAGAUGGGCCCGCGGUGCAUUAGCUAGUUGGUGAGGUAACGGCUCACCAAGGCAACGAUGCAUAGCCGCUCUGAGAGGGUGAUAGGCCAAACUGGGACUGGGACACGGCCCAGACUCCUACGGGAGGCAGCAGUAGGGAAUCUUCCGCAAUGGACGAAAGUCUGACGGAGCAACGCCGCGUGAGUGAUGAAGGCUUACGGGUCGUAAAACUCUGUUGUUAGGGAAGAACAAGUACGAGAGUAACUGCUCGUACCUUGACGGUACCUAACCAGAAAGCCACGGCUAACUACGUGCCAGCCGCCGCGGUAAAAC
rnacentral:rRNA from 1 species